rnacentral:precursor_RNA from 14 species
GCGAGCCCGGCCCGCGGGAGUCUCCGCUCCUGAUUGUCCAAACGCAAUUCUUGUGCCGUGGAAACGUACAAACCAAGAAUUGUGUCUGGACAUCUGUGGCGGGGAGUCCGACCUCGUCACCGGGCCC